rnacentral:rRNA from 1 species
UACGUAGGGGGCUAGCGUUGUCCGGAUUUAUUGGGCGUAAAGCGCGUGUAGGCGGCCAGAUAGGUCUGCUGUGAAAACUCGAGGCUCAACCUCGAGCUGUCGGCGGAAACCAUCUGGCUAGAGUCCGGAAGAGGAAAGUGGAAUUCCUGGUGUAGCGGUGAAAUGCGCAGAUAUCAGGAAGAACACCCGUGGCGAAGGCGGCUCUCUGGGACGGUACUGACGCUGAGACACGAAAGCGUGGGAGCGAACAGGAUUGAGAUACCGAGUAGUCCAGAUCCAAGUCCUACGUGCCAUGACCUA